GGAAAAUAUUAGGAAGAUGCCAAAAUCCUGCCUAAGAGUGCUGCAGCUGGUGGAUCAUUUAUGCUAGUUCUUCCCGAGAGCCAUGUGGUGGAUAGUCCUGGACACCUGGCAUCUCUUAUGCCUCAGUUCUUCAACCACAUCCAGAGGAGUCCAAAUGAAUGAAAGUAUCUGAGAGCAGCUGCUCAGAAGAGGAAGGGCAUCAUGCUGAUCCCGACUGUGUCAAUUUGGGCAUCCUUUUCUGCCACUUCAACUUUCAAAAUCAAAUUGUUAUAAUCAAGAUGCAGAACAAGGAUCCAACGAGGGGCCAGCCAAGCUUAAUCUGCAGUUUUUCUUCCUUCUGUAUUUUUACAAAAAAUAAAUAAAAAG
ensembl:lncRNA